rnacentral:lncRNA from 1 species
CCGUAGAAUAUAGAAUGAGACAGAGUAGAGGGGGUGAACCGUAGUAUAUAGAAUGAGACAGAAAGAAGAGGGGGUGAACCGUAGAAUAUAGAAUGAGACAAAGUAGAGGGGGUGAACCGUAGUAUAUAGAAUGAGACAGAGAGAAGAGGGGGUGAACCGUAGUAUAUAGAAUGAGACAGAGAGUAGAGGGGGUGAACUGUAGUAUAUAGAAUUAGACAGAGAGAAGAGGGGGUGAACCGUAGAAUAUAGAAUGAGACAGAGUAGAGGGGGUGAACCGUAGUAUAUAGAAUGAGACAGAGAGAAGACGGGGUGAACCGUAGUAUAUAGAAUGAGACAGAGAGAAGAGAGGGUGAACCGUAGUAUAUAGAAUGAGACAGAGUAGAGGGGGUGAACCGUAGUAUAUAGAAUGAGACAGAGUAGAGGGGGUGAACCGUAGUAUAUAGAAUGAGACAGAGUAGAGGGGGUGAACUGUAGUAUAUAGAAUGAGACAGAGUAGAGGGGGAAAACUGUAAUUUAUAGAAUGAGACAGAGAGAAGAGGGGGUGAACCGUAGUAUAAAGAAUGAAACAGAGUAGAGGGGGAGAACCGUAGUAUAUAGAAUGAGACAGAGUAGAGGGGGUGAACCGUAGUAUAUAGAAUGAGACAGAGAAGAGGGGGUGAACCGUAGUUUAUAGAAUGAGACAGAGAGAAGAGGGGGUGAACCGUAGUUUAUAGAAUGAGACAGAGAGAGGAGGGGGUGAACCGUAGUUUAUAGAAUGAGACAGAGAAGAGGGGGUGAACCGUAGUAUAUAGAAUGAGACAGAGUAGAAGGGGUGAACAGUAGUAUUUUGAAUGAGACAGAGUAGAGGGGGUGACCGUAGUAUAUAGAAUGAGACAGAGUAGAGGGGGUGAACUGUAGUAAAUACAGUCACCGAGGCGAGGUAACUGAAAAAGAGAUGAAAAGGAAGAGGAUUGGUUUGAGGGGGAAUGUAGCCGUGAUAGAGAGAUUUGAUAGUGAAUUAUUAAUGCGAUUGGGAUGAAGACUAAGAUUGGGAAUGGUAUUGAGAUCUGUGUUGCGGUGGUGGUGACGGAAUGCUGCGGAUUACAGCUGGG